UAGGGAAUUUUGGGCAAUGGGCGAAAGCCUGACCCAGCAACGCCGCGUGUGGGAUGAAGGCCCUCGGGUCGUAAACCACUGUCAGGAGGAAAGAAAAGUCGGCCGGAUAAUACUCGGUCGACCUGACGGUACCUCCAAAGGAAGCACCGGCUAACUCCGUGCCAGCAGCCGCGGUAAUACGGAGGGUGCAAGCGUUGUUCGGAAUUACUGGGCGUAAAGCGCGUGUAGGUGGUCGAGUAAGUCGAAUGUGAAAGCCCCGGGCUCAACCCGGGAAGUGCAUCCGAAACUGCUCGACUAGAGUCCCGGAGAGGAAGGCAGAAUUCCCAAUGUAGGGGUGAAAUCCGUAGAUAUUGGGAGGAAUACCGGUGGCGAAGGCGGCCUUCUGGACGGUGACUGACACUCAGACGCGAAAGCGUGGGGAGCAAACAGGAUUAGAUACCCCCGUAGUCCCUGAGCGGGCUGGCAAGGCGCAU
rnacentral:rRNA from 1 species